CAUAAAUCCUUUAUUAGUCCCACAGCGUGGACAUUUAUCUCGUCACAACAAAAGAACAUAUGAACUAAAAAGGCAGUACACAAUAAUUAAAUAGAAUAAAAGAUAAUAUAAGUACCAAGUGGUAUAAAUAAAGUGAGUAUUGCACAGCAGUGGUGGAACAGUGUGUUCUUGGUGUGGGGGUCUACCUCUCUAUCUCGCCAUGUUUGUUUGUUCCGCUCUGCAGAGAGCUGCUUGUUGGGACAAACUCCGCCGAAGAGCGUUAACUUUAUCCAAAGUUUGAAAUAUUGCCGUCUAGUUCAUUUUUCUAGUGGAUUUGUUUUGCGUGGCGUUUCAUGAAUUACCUCGAGGGCCGGAUCAAAUGGCCGGAGGUUCCCCACCCCUGUUUUAGACCAUGUAAGGAAGGAGUUUGAAUCAGCGGGCAGGGCUUCAUUUCCUUCUUUCUGUUUCAUCUACUCACAACUUACAAUGGUGAGUAGCUGCUUUCAUGUGUUCUCCUUUACCAGGAUUUAAUGUUGUUAUGAUUAAAUUAUAUAUUGUUACUUUCAUUUCUGUUGUCAGUGAAAUGUGUAACUGUUGUGUGUUAUGUUUUAUUUCCUGUUGCAUCAGGAGGCUGAACGGAGGUGAGUCUAAUGAUUUACUGAACCAUAAGUUAUUAUUACUUCAUUCUGCGUUGUCAUUUAAAAAAAACAAUUGUUGUUUAUUAUUGUAGAGUGGAAACAGUUGUGAGAGAUGCCGAGCCUUUCAGAACGAAUGCUUUCCUGAUUAUCGAUCAAAUGCUGGAGCUGUUUGACCCCGGGAGAGAUCUUCAUACACUGUUAGUGGAUGAGAUUCUUCACAGCAUCUUCUUUUUGGGAAAUAUCCACGUUCCACCAUUUUCACCACAAAGAAUUCUUGGUGAAGAAAUGUUUAAUGGAUUGAGGGAAACCUUCCCUCGGCCUUUUAAACUCUAUUCCUCUCAAGUGCCGAAGCGGAGUCCAUUCUCAUGUCUGCUGGACAUGAUUGUCGACCUGAAGGGACAAGAGAAUGAACAAGAAAUAAUAGCGAUGCUUCAAAACUUCAUCUCUAAAAUACAGCAGGGACGUAAUUCAAAGCCUCUGGUCUCCUCCACCAUCUGUGUCUCUCAGAGCACCGAUAUCAGGUACUACGGGGUCUCCAUGUCCACUUCUGGCCGUAUUCCUGGAAAAAUCAUGGUUUCUGCGUCCUGUUUUAGCAGCUGGGACGAAUAUGUAGCUGGUGCAGUGAUCACCUACCAUCCAGCGAAGGACAAGAAGACAUAUUUUGAUGGAACCAUCAUACUUCCAGAGACAGUCAGGUGCCAGGCGUUUAGCCUCCUCAGGGGAGGAAGCAUUAUGCCUCCUUGCAGAUCAUGUGAGAAUUUGUUUGGUUUGACAACAGAUGAUACACAGGAGUGGGGCUAUGGCAACUGUGCUGAAGCUGAAAGUGUGAGCAACUUGUUUAAAAAAGUUCAAGAAGUAAGAGAGGAAGCACGACCAACAUCAACGACGUGCACACCUGAGAACAGGAUGAAGGCUGAGGAAGCAGUCAAGAGAGAUCUCAAGAAUUUGCUGAAAGAGAAGAAAUUUAAUUGGGAUAAUAAUUUCUACACCCCAGAGAGAGUCUAAUCCUAAAAAGGGAAAUGAUUGAAUAUUAAAUAUUGAUAGGUGCAAUUCUUUUGGUCCUUAAUUGUAGAGUGACCAGAUAGAUCUCUUUUGAUAUUUUUCUUUAUCAGUCACACCUUCAUAUAAACUUCACUGUAACACUCUGGGCUGUGACAUUCCUACUUUUUAGUUGUACGUGGAGUUCAUGUGAUCAGAGCUGUCAAUAUAUCAGGCUUCAUCUUAGCUCCUUGUGAUGUGUAACAAUGAAGAUAUUAAUGCAUUCAUGGAAAAUAUUAUUAAGCCAAAUGUGUGUCAACUGAUUGAAUGAAGCAUGCAGAGGUUGAUGUGUUCGUGUAAUUUUUUGUAUUGAUUGUAUCUGCAGCAACCUCAUCUAAAGAGUUACCUGUCAGUUGUAGAUUGUAAGAUUUCACAGAUCACUUUUAAAGUCAAGACCCCUCUGGACCCCCCCUGCCUGAGGCCCUGAGGUUUGCAGAAUCAGUGACAUCUUUUAAAUCAGUUCUCAAAACGUAUCUUAAAAAAAAAAGAAGCCUUAUUAUCGAUUUUAGCACACUGUUUUAUUUGCCUGAUUUUAUUUCCCUAUGUCCUGUAAUGUUUUUAAUCUUGAAAUGUGUUUAAUCCUGGUUCAACCAUGUAAAGCACUUUGUAACUUUGUUUUGAAAAGCGCUUUAUAAAUAAAGGUUAUUAUUAUCAUUACUAUAAAUGAGUGUUUCUUUACCAGUGUAUACAACUUGACAUAUAUGAUGUGAAGCUUGAGUAUCUUAAACAGAAGAAGGCUGACAACAUGUUUACAUUUAAUUGCACAUCUUUAACAAUAAGACCAACAACAAACCACAGCUAACUUUAAGGACGUCAGAGGCAGC
rnacentral:lncRNA from 1 species